GUGAUCGCCUCAUCAUCCUCGUUCUCCCAUAAAGGGCCAGACAGUGCCACUACUCGACGCUGGAUCACAAUUGACAUAUAUACAGGAGUCCUGUUUGCUCUCCUGUACCAUGGUCUCCCCGUUCAAGCUGGAGCCCCGCAUUCCUUCCCUACCUCGCUUCUGUGCACCGACAGGAUCCCUGACCUCCCUCCAUUCCACAGCGGCACCUGUCCAGCUGCACCGGCCACCUUUCCACCACUGCCCACCUCACCUCUCCAAUCUCUACCUGUUGCUCAGACUGGUGACCUGUCCAGGGUGUCUCUUGCUUUCACCCCCACAACUUCAAUGAGGAUUAAGUGGUGUAUAGAUAAUGGACAGAUGGAUGCAUUUGGGCUCCAAGAUGAACAUUUUAUUGAUGAAAAAAUAUUUGUUACCUAUGAACAAUAAAUAGGGCACUGGUUUUAUAGACAUGUGCAGUGUCUCUAGUCUACAUUUACUUGUGACUAGCAAUGUUUUUCCACCUUUCCAUUUGCAUCUGUAUGCCAGAUCCUUUGACUGAAUUGCUCUUUGUUCUUUUUGUCUUACCCUCUGUUACUGAUAACCAACCAUAUGUAAAUGAACCACUAUUCACCCUUGUGUUUACCGACAGCCCCUCCCUACCCUCUAAUCCACUCUCUGAUAUCCCUAUGAAAUGAGUACUUUGCACAACUAAGAGUGAAAUUUCUUCAACAGUACAUAGGAGCAGGAUGCGCAAGGAAGAGUUAACUGUGCCUUCAGUCGACAAUUUUUAUGGGUCCAUUAGCAGAAUCUGUCACCUCUUUCACAAUAACAUUUCUGUCAUUUUAUGUGCAUAACAACAUGCAGCCAACUUUAAAUAUUCCCAAUGAUGAUAAGUAUCCCAGGGAACCAUGCCACUGACCCAGCAUGUGAACAAUUCCACAGUUCUAGGACCCUGGAGCUGAUACUCACUAAUUGUAACACAGCCACGUUCGUCUUUAAUAGGGAGUGGAGUUCUUUAUGUUGGGUGCACAUUCUUGUGUAUUUAUGCCUUAAUAUUAACCAGUUCAGUGUCUGUCUCAUGCCCCAUUCAUUCAAUGGCUCAUCAGGACAUAGUGGAGAUUGCAUGAUGUGCAAAAAGGUUCCUAAUUGACCAGGCACUUCACAAAGGACUCCAUAUUUUGGUGUGGCACAAAAGCACAGCCUGGGAAUAAAUAGGAAUAUCUAUUGUGGGGAGUUAUUCAGUCUCACACAGACAUGCCAGGGCACUCACACUCAGACAAAAGAAGAUGAUCCAUCUAGCAGCAUAUACAGUUUUCAGACAAGUGUUGGAUCAUAUGAAGACUACAGCCAUUGUCCUUGCUUUCACUGAGUAAUUAUCUUGAUUCAGUCAGCAGACACAGGGAACACAGCAUUAGUACAGUGUGAAAAUACUCAGCCAUGCUGACAAAAGAAGAUUUCUGAGCAGCACAGUGAAAAAGACAUCAAACAUACUGACAAUGAAGGACAGUGAAAAAUGUGAAGGUAAUUUUUGCAGAGAUGCGUCUAAGUUCCCACUCUUGAUAAAUGUAUUUAUGGCUUGAAAAAAAAAUCACACCAUGUGUCGUCAGACUUUUAAUAAUAAAAGCGAUGUCCAGUAACCAUGGAGAUGUUUUUGACAGCUUGUCACAUUUCUCCCAAUGGGAGUUAUCUAUUAAAAGCAUGGUAUUUUUCUCACGACCAAAGCCAGCAGUACUGUUUCUCGUAAGCUCAGUGUCACUUUAACGUCACAGAGAGACUUGGAAUGUUGUCCAUGUGAUGAGUAAUACAUUUUUAUGACACACUGACCUGUAAUGGUUAUUCAACCCAUGUGCAAUAUCUCCAUCAU
ensembl:lncRNA